UACGAAGGGGGCUAGCGUUGUUCGGAAUUACUGGGCGUAAGGCGCGCGCAGGCGGCUAUCCAAGUCAGUGGUGAAAGCCCGGAGCUCAACUCCGGAACUGCCAUUGAAACUGUUUAGCUGGAGUAUGAGAGAGGUGAGUGGAAUUCCCAGUGUAGAGGUGAAAUUCGUAGAUAUUGGGAAGAACACCGGUGGCGAAGGCGGCUCACUGGCUCAUUACUGACGCUCAUGCGCGACAGCGUGGGGAUCAAACAGG
rnacentral:rRNA from 1 species